UUGGAGGGCAAGUCUGGUGCCAGCAGCCGCGGUAAUUCCAGCUCCAAUAGCGUAUAUUAAAGUUGUUGCAGUUAAAAAGCUCGUAGUUGAAUUUCGGAGUUUGUCGGUUGGUCGGGCUUCACUGUCCGCACUGGCCUGAUGGAUUCCUACCUUCUGAAUAACCAGCAUGCUAUUAAGUUAGUGCGUUGGGGAAGCAGAGCUAUUACCUUGAAAAAAUUAGAGUGCUUAAAGCAGGCUUAUGCUUGAAUAGAUUAGCAUGGAAUAAUGAAAUAGGACGUUUGAUUCUAUUUUGUUGGUUUCUAGGAUCGACGUAAUGAUUAAUAGGGAUAGUUGGGGGCAUUAGUAUUCAAUUGUCAGAGGUGAAAUUCUUGGAUUUAUUGAAGACUAACUACUGCGAAAGCAUUUGCCAAGGAUGUUUUCAUUAAUCAAGAACGAAAGUUAGGGGAUCGAAGACGAUCAGAUACCGUCGUAGUCUUAACCAUAAACUAUGCCGACUAGGGAUCGGACGAUGUUAAUUUUUUAAUGACUCGUUCGGCGCCUUACGGGAAAC
rnacentral:rRNA from 1 species